UCCUCAUAGCUCAGUUGGUAAAGAAUCUGCCUGCAAUGCAGAUGAGACCUGGGUUCAAUUCCUGGGUCAGGAA
rnacentral:tRNA from 1 species